rnacentral:rRNA from 1 species
CAGUCGCCGCGGUAAUACGGAGGGUGCAAGCGUUAUCCGGAUUUAUUGGGUUUAAAGGGUCCGUAGGCGGACUUAUAAGUCAGUGGUGAAAGCCUGUCGCUUAACGAUAGAACUGCCAUUGAUACUGUAAGUCUUGAGUAUAUUUGAGGUAGCUGGAAUAAGUAGUGUAGCGGUGAAAUGCAUAGAUAUUACUUAGAACACCAAUUGCGAAGGCAGGUUACCAAGAUAUAACUGACGCUGAGGGACGAAAGCGUGGGUAGCGAACAGGAUUAGAUACCCCCGUAGUCCCUGUCUCUUUACA